GCGCCGCGCUCCUCCCAGUGCCCGGGACGGUGUCGGGGGCGGGCUGCACGGCGAGAAGAGCAAAAUAAAACCAGCCCGAGAGGCCCUGGCUGUGGUUGAGACUGCAGGAGUAACUUCUGCACCGAGGCAGCGCGCAGCCAGUCGGGGAAGAACUCUGCAACCUGACCGAAAGAAAGUCCGACCCUCUCGGGAGGGCUGCCAGGAUGCUGGAGCGAGUGUCAGGGUCCGAGACUCCCAAGUCGGGCGAGGGCUUCUGCCCCUGGCCAUUGGGUACCCCCCUCCGACCAACACCCCCGUCCCGCUUCAGAGCGUCGGCCCCACAGACCUAGAUGGGCAAGAGACCAAAUACUUUUCUUGGAAUACAUCAUCUUGAUUGAAAACUACUAGGAUAUUUUUGAAAAAAUAGCUCAUUAGCUGGCUGGGGAUCAAAGAUUUCUACCCUGUUGGAAGAAGCCACUGUUGAAGUGUGAAAGGCUACUCUGCUUUCUGCGUCCAUUUAACCUUUGGCCUGCCCUAAAGAGCC
rnacentral:lncRNA from 1 species